rnacentral:rRNA from 1 species
AACGAACGCUGGCGGCAUGCCUAACACAUGCAAGUCGAACGAGAUCUUCGGGUCUAGUGGCGCACGGGUGCGUAACGCGUGGGAAUCUGCCCUUUGGUUCGGAAUAACAGUUGGAAACGACUGCUAAUACCGGAUGAUGACGAAAGUCCAAAGAUUUAUCGCCAGAGGAUGAGCCCGCGCAGGAUUAGCUAGUUGGUGUGGUAAAGGCGCACCAAGGCGACGAUCCUUAGCUGGUCUGAGAGGAUGAUCAGCCACACUGGGACUGAGACACGGCCCAGACUCCUACGGGAGGCAGCAGUGGGGAAUAUUGGACAAUGGGCGAAAGCCUGAUCCAGCAAUGCCGCGUGAGUGAUGAAGGCCUGAGGGUUGUAAAGCUCUUUUACCCGGGAUGAUAAUGACAGUACCGGGAGAAUAAGCUCCGGCUAACUCCGUGCCAGCCGCCGCGGUAA